AGUGAACGCUGGCGGUAGGCCUAACACAUGCAAGUCGAACGGCAGCACAGUAAGAGCUUGCUCUUACGGGUGGCGAGUGGCGGACGGGUGAGGAGUACAUCGGAAUCUACUUUUUCGUGGGGGAUAACGUAGGGAAACUUACGCUAAUACCGCAUACGACCUACGGGUGAAAGCAAGGGAUCUUCGGACCUUGCGCGAUUGAAUGAGCCGAUGUCGGAUUAGCUAGUUGGCGGGGUAAAGGCCCACCAAGGCGACGAUCCGUAGCUGGUCUGAGAGGAUGAUCAGCCACACUGGAACUGAGACACGGUCCAGACUCCUACGGGAGGCAGCAGUGGGGAAUAUUGGACAAUGGGCGCAAGCCUGAUCCAGCCAUACCGCGUGGGUGAAGAAGGCCUUCGGGUUGUAAAGCCCUUUUGUUGGGAAAGAAAAGCAGCAGGUUAAUACCCCGCUGUUCUGACGGUACCCAAAGAAUAAGCACCGGCUAACUUCGUG
rnacentral:rRNA from 1 species